UACGAAGGGGGCUAGCGUUGCUCGGAAUCACUGGGCGUAAAGCGCACGUAGGCGGCUUUCUAAGUCAGGGGUGAAAUCCUGGAGCUCAACUCCAGAACUGCCUUUGAUACUAGGAAGCUUGAGUCCGGAAGAGGUGAGUGGAACUGCGAGUGUAGAGGUGAAAUUCGUAGAUAUUCGCAAGAACACCAGUGGCGAAGGCGGCUCACUGGUCCGGUACUGACGCUGAGGUGCGAAAGCGUGGGGAGCAAACAGG
rnacentral:rRNA from 1 species